rnacentral:rRNA from 1 species
AUUGAACGCUGGCGGCAGGCCUAACACAUGCAAGUCGAGCGAGCGGCGGACGGGUGAGUAAUGUAUGGGGACUGCCCGAUAGAGGGGGAUAACUACUGGAAACGGUGGCUAAUACCGCAUACUAUCGGAUAACCCAUAUGGGAUUAGCUAGUAGGUGGGGUAAAGGCUACCCUAGGCGACGAUCUCUAGCUGGUCUGAGUGGAGGAUCAGCCACACUGGGACUGGGACACGGACCAGCUGCGUAGGGAGGCAGCAGUGAGGAAUAUUGAACAAUGGGCGCAAGCCUGGUUCAGCCAUGCCGCGUGUAUUAGGAAGGCCUUAGGGUUGUAAAGUACUUUCAGCGGGGAGGCGUUACCCGCAGAAGAAGCACCGGCUAACUCCGUGCCAGCAGCCGCGGUAAUAC